rnacentral:misc_RNA from 1 species
AACCUGGCGGCUCAACGCCUUUCAGCUGGAAUGUUGCCCAUGUUGCGGUGCACGGUACUGUAGAACCCCAAGACAUACUUCCAGGCACUGAAGGUGAUUCAGACAACCAAAAUGUUCCCCCUUCUAAAAGCUCGACCUUUUCCUUGUCGUAAAAUAUGGUACAGUGCUGAUCAGAAGUGUCUUCAGCUCCUUUUCUUGAUAUUCCAAACUGUUCAUAACCUUGCAAGCACUGCUGAAUAUAGUCCAACUGUGACUUCACACCUUGUUGGGUACAGAGAAU